rnacentral:rRNA from 1 species
AUUGAACGCUGGCGGCAGGCCUAACACAUGCAAGUCGAACGAGUGGCGGACGGGUGAGUAAUGUCUGGGAAACCGCCCGAUGGAGGGGGAAAAACAGUGGAAACGGUAGCUAAUACCGCAUACCCUCAGAAGUGCCCAGAUGGGAUUAGCUUGGUGGUGGUGUAAUGGCUCACCAGGGGGACGGUCCCUAGCUGGUGUGAGAGGAUGAACAUCCACACUGGAACUGAGACACGGCCCAGACUCCUACGGGCGGCAGCAGUGGGGAAUAGUGCACAAUGGGCGCAAGCCUGAUGCAGCCAUGCCGCGUGUAUGAAGAAGGCCUUCGGGUUGUAAAGUACUUUCAGCGGGGAGGCGUUACCCGCAGAAGAAGCACCGGCUAACUCCGUGCCAGCAGCCGCGGUAAUUC